AGGGUCUGGGAGAAGCGAAAGAACAGCAAAGGAGGGAGCCUCUGUAGGCGCUGCCUUGGGACUGGUCCUGGAGCUCAGUUCCCCUGGAUGGAGGCUUUGAAGACGUUGGGAGAGCCAGGCCAGGCACAGCACGCUUUCCUGACGGCCACGCGUUUUCUUCCAGCCUUUGACGGAGGGUUUUUUCAGCGUCUGACAAGGCAGGGAAGAUGGAAGAGAAGGAAGAGAACAAUGAGCUUAUCUCAGCUGACUCCCCUGAGAGCCAAGAUCUUCAGCUUCGUGUCUCUGCGGUUCCAGAAGAAAGCAACAUCAUAGCUCCUGAGCCUCGAGAAGAGAUGCUAACUGAACACACUCUACGGUCAGCCCCAGUGCUGGGUACACAGAGAAAGGAGACGAAACAGUGGCCAUCCUCUGAUGGACUGGAUGCGGCCCUCACACCAAGACAGAAAACAAUCAGGAUGACACAUCUUCAUCCUGUCAGGUCUCUGGCAGUGUCCUCAAGACUUGAAAAGAUGAGGAAACUGAGGCUCAAAGAGACAGCGAGUAAGCAGCCGAGCCCAGACUCAGACCUGGGGAUUGGUGCAGCUGGUCCUGGAUUCCUUCUUGGAGCUGUGGCCUAGGAAGACCCAGGGAAGCGGACAGGGGACAGGGGACACUUGUGCCUCGUUGCCUCCCUGCCUGGGGCACCGACAAGCUGUGGGCCAUGCCGCUGCUGCAGGCUCCUGAACACAUCUCCAGGGGAGGGGAGCAGCCGCGAGACCUGAGACCAGGGUGCUCUGUCUCCGUGGGCACUGAGCCAUGUACCCUG
rnacentral:lncRNA from 1 species